rnacentral:lncRNA from 1 species
GGAAUGGGCAGAAAGACCACAAUAUUCAGUGGAAACACCAUCCGUCUGCUUCCACAUCCUACAGUGAGCAGGGACGGAAAAGAUCUCCUCCUAGGACAAACCCGGAGGUGCUUCUCGACUUUUCCAGGAGCCCGUUUACAGAAGGAAUGGGACUUCACAGCACAGGAUUGUCAAUCAAUGGAAAAAACCCUGACUUGUAGCUCAGCAGCCUCGAAGGUCUCCCGACUUGGACCAGAGGAACGGAACAAGGUGGAACAAGGCGUAAGGUCUGCACCGCCUGUCCCUCGGAUCAGACCCCUUCACGCGCAUCAUCUCAAGUUUCUGAAGAGACCUUUCAUUUCAACCAAUGAACCUGGAUUCUCGCCUGACAGAAACCAGGCAUCAUGCUCUGACGGUGGGGCAGGAAGAGUGAGAGAGAGCCAAGACAAGUCUCUUGCCCGCAGAUGA